rnacentral:rRNA from 1 species
GGCGGUGAACUCGCGUUCGCUAUGGAAGAUGAACCUUCUGCUGUUGGUGCAAUGGA